CCCUUAGAUGUUCUGGGCCACACGCGUGCUACACUGAGUGGAUCAGCGGGUCAGGUUGCGCGAAAGUGUUUCCUAAUCUUUAAAUCCGCUCGUGAUGGGGAUUGACGGUUGCAAUUUUCCGUCAUGAACGAGGAAUACCUUGUAAGCGCGGGUCAUCAUCCCGCGCUGAAUACGUCCCUGCCCUUUGUACACACCGCCCGUCGCUCCUACCGAUUGAGUGGUCCGGUGAGGCUUUGGGAUCUGGGCGGAAAGAGCGUUUCGCUGUUUCUGCCCGGAAAACUCAGUCGAACCUUAUCAUUUAGAGGAAGGAGAAGUCGUAACA
rnacentral:rRNA from 1 species